CAGAGUAACAUGAUGGACAGCAGUACAGGACUACUGCUUUUAACUGUCUUCUGGGCAGGUGUUGAUGGUCAGACUCUGACAGAAUCUGAACCAGUCAUUAAAAGGCCUGGAGAAUCCCACACACUGACAUGUACAGCCUCUGGAUUCACAUUCAGAGACUACUAUAUGGCUUGGGUCAGACAGGCUCCUGGAAAAGGACUGGAGUGGGUUGCUUAUAUCAGUAGUGGUGGUGGUAGCAAACACUACUCUCAGUCAGUCAGAGGCCGGUUCACCAUCUCCAGAGACAACAGCAGACAGCAGCUGUAUCUGCAGAUGAACAGUCUGAGGACUGAAGAUUCUGCUGUUUAUUAUUGUGCUCGAGAGUCACAGUGAUGCAAAAGGGAGAAAUGCUACACAAAAACCCAGCACAUUAAACUAAGUCAAAAUUAGAUUAUCAGUGACAGAAAUUAAAUUUAACUGAUGAACAAACACAGAGAAAAAAAAAAACUGUUGUUGGGAAAGGGCUAAUGAUUGUUUUCAUUUGUAUUUGGGCAAACCAGAGUCUGGUUUGUUUGAAAUAUGUUUUUCAGAAAUUGAAAAACAAGAA